AAAAGUUGUAUAUUUAAUUUGAUUUUAAACAUAUUUUAUUCAUUAAGAUAUGAAAAGGAUUGAGCAACAGGCACAGCCUAUAAAAGCUCUCUCCAUAUUACAUGUACAAGGUAUAAUUCAAUCACAACAACUGUAUUUAAAAUAAUGCAAUAUAGUGGAACAUGCAUGCUACUUGUGAGCACACACGAGCAAAUAUAUGUUAACAGGGUUACUUACUAAAUGCAAAAUAUAUUUAAAUAUAUAGGCAAUUAAUCAUCAGUUAUUUAAAGUACCUUGAAACAUGCAA
rnacentral:lncRNA from 1 species